rnacentral:rRNA from 1 species
AUGUCGGUGGCUGAGGUGAAGAAGACGGCGUGCGUCACCGGAGGGAGCGGCUACAUCGCUUCAGCACUCAUCAAGCUGCUGCUCGAGAAAGGCUACGCUGUCAAGACGACUGUCAGAGACCCCGAUAACGUGGAGAAGAACUCCCACCUCAAGGACUUGGAAACACUUGGCCCCUUGGAGAUCGUCCAUGCUCAGUUGGAUGAAGAAGGCAGCUUUGAUAACGCAGUUUCCGGCUGUGACUACGUCUUCCUCGUCGCAGCUCCGACGAACCUCGGAUCAGCAGAUCCUGAGAGAGAUCUGAUCGAAGCUGGUGUGCAAGGAACACUUAACGUGAUGAGGUCCUGCGUGAGAGCCGGGACGGUGAAGCGGGUGAUACUGACAUCGUCAGAUGCCGCGGUGUCGAGGAGGCCGCUGCACGGCGGCGGCCACGUGCUGGACGAGAGCUCAUGGUCCGACGUUGAGUAUCUCAGAGCCAACAAGCCACCAACUUGGGGAUACGCGGUUUCCAAGGUGGUUCUGGAGAAGGCGGCGAACGAAUUCGCGGAGGAGAACGGCAUCAGCCUUGUCACCAUGUUGCCCGUGUACACCUUGGGUGCGUCGCCGGACUCCAAGGCCAGAACCAGCGUGCCCAUCACCCUCUCCCUGCGACGAGAAACAGCUGGGCAUCCUGUUAGGCCUGCAGGCGGUCACAGAUGA